GACGAACCGUCCAAACGUUAUUCGGAAUUACUGGGCGUAAAGGGCGCGUAGGCGGCCUUCUAAGUUGAACGUGAAAUCCCCGGGCUCAACCCGGGAACUGCGUCCAAGACUGGGAGGCUAGAAUCCGGGAGAGGGAUGUGGAAUUCCAGGUGUAGCGGUGAAAUGCGUAGAUAUCUGGAGGAACACCGGUGGCGAAGGCGGCAUCCUGGACCAACAUUGACGCUGAGGAGCGAAAGCCAGGGGAGCAAACGGG
rnacentral:rRNA from 1 species